AUUGAACGCUGGCGGCAGGCCUAACACAUGCAAGUCGAACGGUAACAGGAAGCAGCUUGCUGCUUCGCUGACGAGUGGCGGACGGGUGAGUAAUGUCUGGGAAACUGCCUGAUGGAGGGGGAUAACUACUGGAAACGGUAGCUAAUACCGCAUAACGUCGCAAGACCAAAGAGGGGGACCUUCGGGCCUCUUGCCAUCGGAUGUGCCCAGAUGGGAUUAGCUAGUAGGUGGGGUAACGGCUCACCUAGGCGACGAUCCCUAGCUGGUCUGAGAGGAUGACCAGCCACACUGGAACUGAGACACGGUCCAGACUCCUACGGGAGGCAGCAGUGGGGAAUAUUGCACAAUGGGCGCAAGCCUGAUGCAGCCAUGCCGCGUGUAUGAAGAAGGCCUUCGGGUUGUAAAGUACUUUCAGCGGGGAGGAAGGGAGUAAAGUUAAUACCUUUGCUCAUUGACGUUACCCGCAGAAGAAGCACCGGCUAACUCCGUGCCAGCAGCCGCGGUAAUACGGAGGGUGCAAGCGUUAAUCGGAAUUACUGGGCGUAAAGCGCACGCAGGCGGUUUGUUAAGUCAGAUGUGAAAUCCCCGGGCUCAACCUGGGAACUGCAUCUGAUACUGGCAAGCUUGAGUCUCGUAGAGGGGGGUAGAAUUCCAGGUGUAGCGGUGAAAUGCGUAGAGAUCUGGAGGAAUACCGGUGGCGAAGGCGGCCCCCUGGACGAAGACUGACGCUCAGGUGCGAAAGCGUGGGGAGCAAACAGG
rnacentral:rRNA from 1 species